GCGGGGGUGCCCGAGCUAGGACAAAGGGGCGGGACUCAGGCUCCCGUGGCAGAGGCCUGCGUGGGUUCGAAUCCCACCCCCCGCACCA
rnacentral:tRNA from 1 species